GGAUCAUUACCGAGUGUAGGGUUCCUAGCGAGCCCAACCUCCCACCCGUGUUUACUGUACCUUAGUUGCUUCGGCGGGCCCGCCAUUCAUGGCCGCCGGGGGCUCUCAGCCCCGGGCCCGCGCCCGCCGGAGACACCACGAACUCUGUCUGAUCUAGUGAAGUCUGAGUUGAUUGUAUCGCAAUCAGUUAAAACUUUCAACAAUGGAUCUCUUGGUUCCGGCAUCGAUGAAGAACGCAGCGAAAUGCGAUAACUAGUGUGAAUUGCAGAAUUCCGUGAAUCAUCGAGUCUUUGAACGCACAUUGCGCCCCCUGGUAUUCCGGGGGGCAUGCCUGUCCGAGCGUCAUUGCUGCCCAUCAAGCACGGCUUGUGUGUUGGGUCGUCGUCCCCUCUCCGGGGGGGACGGGCCCCAAAGGCAGCGGCGGCACCGCGUCCGAUCCUCGAGCGUAUGGGGCUUUGUCACCCGCUCUGUAGGCCCGGCCGGCGCUUGCCGAACGCAAAUCAAUCUUUUCCAGGUUGACCUCGGAUCAGGUAGGGAUACCCGCUGAACUUAAGCAUAU
rnacentral:rRNA from 1 species